GAUUGUCUGCGAACAAAAAUCAAAAGAAGCGUGCUGGUGGUGCAAAUUCCAAUCAGCACAGAUGUGGUGUGAUCGUCCAACAAGAACACGAGCUGAUAUGGUGUUCUCAAGGUUUGCAUGUGAACUGUUCAAUUGUUCCUGGACCUUUCUCUUUAAUCAAUGGGCAGGGUUCAUCUGUUGGUUGGCCUUUGAUGGGUAAUAAUCCUCCACAGUAUCUGCAAAGUCAGAGCUCUUGGGUUCACUCUGAAAAUUUUACCGCUACAGAUGUAGACGAAUGCUGUUGUGGGGCAAGCAUUAUCUCCAUACGGUGCACUUGAAUAUAUUGAUCAAGAAACAAGGGCAAUGGACAAUCCAUCUGAUUUUACAUGCAUUGUGUGUUCGAAACGUUAUACACUAUACUAAUAAUACCAAUCUCAGGUAAGAUUGGUAUUAGAGUUCCUGACACUAGCUUAUUAGAAUGCUCAUCUGUAUCACAUAUACAACUACUUCUUUGUUCCUCAAUAAGUUUUUUUUUUUGGAUAAGGCUGAAUAAGCAUGUGUGUUCUUCAUCCUUUUUUGGAUAUGCUUUUCAGUUUGGAGUUGGUAAUUAAGAAGUUAGCAGUUGAUUAAAUUAAUAACCAGGAAGUUGCCCUCUGCUUCUCAGAUAAAAUCACUAUUUAUAAUGGUGCAGAUCUACUUCAAGUGUACACUGUUCUAGAGCAAGGAAAGUGUGCUGGAUGAUUCACCUUUGUAUGGAUAGAGAUACACAAAGAAGUUGUUUUUGAUAUGUUUAUGUGUUCUAAUACAGACAAUAUGUCUCUAAGCUUCCUUAGAGAAAGUUCUUUCUGAGUACGUUAUUCAGACAUUGUGCUUUUGGCAGGUAAUAGUUGCUGCUUGCCAUUGGCUCUGGUUUUGGCACCUCCUUGCGCUGAGAGCGGCAUCGCUCGCUCCUGCUGGGAGCAUUGCGCCAUCUUCUGGUUUCUGGGCAUGGCAGAGUGGCGACAUUUCUCUCAAUCAUGAUGCAGGAAUAACAGUACAAACUUCAUGGCUUCUUUCAGUGUUAAUUUUAUUUAUGUAUACUGUUUCAAGCUCUUUUCAGAUGAUUUUCAGUUGAGUAUAUGGUUCUGACAUUUUUAAGUGAUUGAUUCUUAUUUUGUAGCUUUCAUCUUCAAGCCAUGAAUUUUGAUUACUGUAUCGGUAGCGAUGUGUUCUUAUGAAAGUUUAUUGCAUAACAAAUUCAAAGUAAUAUAGACAUGGUACUCCAUUGUAUGCCUUUUGUUUCAUAUGUUCCCCUCCUAGAUUGGUUGUUAGAUAUAUAUUCCCAAUAAACUGAAGGCAUGAGGUCAUGUUAUUUCUUGAAUUUUUAGUUUCCAACUUUUUUUGGCUAUACAACAAGAGUCAAGCUUGAAUUUUGGCACAUAAUAUACUCUUUUUGUUCACUUUUGGUGCUUACUCAGAUAGCGAAUCACCUGAAGCUCACUCAAGAAUUAGAGAUAAGAGAUGGCAACAUUCAAGAUCUUGUGGGGAGUUUGACCAAGAAGCUUCCGGCUGCUCUUUUGACUAUCUAGGCUAAAGAUGAUGCAGCAAGUUUUCUUUUCCUGUAUGAAUUGUAAGUUAUUCCACUUACAGCAGUUUAGAUUCUUUGCAAAGAAUAAAUUUUGCAUGGCGAAAGAUGAUACGUUGCUGCUACAUUUUUUUGCAGACUCUUUUGGCAAAGUUGCAAUGAUAUAAACAAGAAUUUUACUUAUUAUAUUGUCGUAUUUACCUUUUGCCUCAACGAGUGUGACCAGCACCACGCGGCGUACAAAAGAUGAAAAAGAUGAGGAAAUAUCUGAAAUUAGAAAGAUAGUAUAUCAAGAGAUAGGUUUCUGUUUGUGACAACAUGAACAUCCUGUUUUUCUACUUCAGGUACAUAUACAUUCGGACCUCAAGUGUAAGAUACACAUAUGUUACUUUUAAUUAUUUGUCUUCUCUCUGUUCUAAUAAAUUGUUUUUCUCUAAAACACUUGCACUUCGACCAGCUGAGGCGAUUACCAUUAGUGUACUGUUUGUUCCAAUGCGAAUGUUUUUUCUUGGCACUACAAGUAUGUAUGUUCUGAUUCUGUGUGGAAUCUAUGGCUUUCUUAAUUAAUCAUCUUCUCUGUAUAUUGAUGCUCUGCCUAUUUUUUACAACACUUGCCAUUUGAUCAGUCGAAGGGCUACUGUUAGUGCUUCACUUAAAUAAUAUGUACCACUUUUGUGUAUGGAAAGGAGUCAGGUACUAGCGGAUAAUGGAGGAAACUAGGGAAGCUGUGGUCAGGGAGUAAGGUAGAGUGCAAGGAUGUGUCUUCUGAAUCCACUAAGAUUUGUUAAUUGCAUGGACCAUAUCUUCAGACAAUAUGAAUUCUUUAUACCAUGUUAACAAGUAUCAAAAUUCUAAAUUUUCCAUAUACUGACGAAGCUUAUGCAUGAGUGGGAGCUCCCAACAAAGCAUGCCCUACGUUUUGGGCAUGCAAUCUGGAAGGAGCACUGAAAAAAGACUAAUAAAGUUGAUAAACCAUGGUGCUUGGGAAAUGGCGUUUCUUUGUGAUCCACUCUCUAUUGAAAGAAUGAAGUUUGUUGGUCCUUUUUAUGCUCGAGUUUUUCAUGCCAGAAAGUUUAGGUGCCUUGCUCUGAAGUAUUGUAUUGUUCUAUCUGUGUUUGCUUAUCAAAUUGCCGUUGCACUGCUCUAUUUUAUGUACUCGAUUUAGAUGGAAAAGCCAUAUAGUAGGAAGCAGUCCAUAAAUAAAAUAU